rnacentral:rRNA from 1 species
UACAGAGGGUGCGAGCGUUAAUCGGAAUUACUGGGCGUAAAGCGUGCGCAGGCGGCUUUGCAAGACAGAUGUGAAAUCCCCGGGCUCAACCUGGGAACUGCAUUUGUGACUGCAAGGCUAGAGUACGGCAGAGGGGGAUGGAAUUCCGCGUGUAGCAGUGAAAUGCGUAGAUAUGCGGAGGAACACCGAUGGCGAAGGCAAUCCCCUGGGCCUGCACUGACGCUCAUGCACGAAAGCGUGGGGAGCAAACAGG